AAAGGAAUAGACGGGGACCCGCACAAGCAGCGGAGCAUGUGGUUUAAUUCGAAGCAACGCGAAGAACCUUACCAGGACUUGACAUCUCCUUGACAGGCUGGGUAAAACCGGCCCUUCUUCGGACAAGGAUGACAGGUGGUGCAUGGUUGUCGUCAGCUCGUGUCGUGAGAUGUUGGGUUAAGUCCCGCAACGAGCGCAACCCUUGUCUUUAGUUGCCAUCAUUAAGUUGGGCACUCUAGAGAGACUGCCGGGGACAACUCGGAGGAAGGUGGGGAUGACGUCAAAUCAUCAUGCCCCUUAUGUUCUGGGCUACACACGUGCUACAAUGGUCGGUACAAAGAGCAGCGAGACCGCGAGGUGGAGCAAAUCUCAAAAGCCGAUCCCAGUUCGGAUUGCAGGCUGCAACCCGCCUGCAUGAAGUCGGAGUUGCUAGUAAUCGUGGAUCAGAAUGCCACGGUGAAUGCGUUCCCGGGUCUUGUACACACCGCCCGU
rnacentral:rRNA from 1 species